rnacentral:rRNA from 1 species
CAGGGAUUGCCCUAGUAACGGCGAGUGAAGCGGCAACAGCUCAAAUUUGAAAUCUGGCCUUCGGGUCCGAGUUGUAAUUUGUAGAGGAUGCUUUUGGUGAGGUGCCUUCCGAGUUCCCUGGAACGGGACGCCAUAGAGGGUGAGAGCCCCGUCUGGUUGGACACCGAUCCUCUGUAAAGCUCCUUCGACGAGUCGAGUAGUUUGGGAAUGCUGCUCUAAAUGGGAGGUAUAUGUCUUCUAAAGCUAAAUAUUGGCCAGAGACCGAUAGCGCACAAGUAGAGUGAUCGAAAGAUGAAAAGCACUUUGAAAAGAGAGUUAAAAAGUACGUGAAAUUGUUGAAAGGGAAGCGCUCAUGACCAGACUUGGGCUUGGUUGAUCAUCCAGGGUUCUCCCUGGUGCACUCUUCCAGUUCAGGCCAGCAUCAGUUCGCUGUGGGGGAUAAAGGCUUUGGGAAUGUGGCUCCCUCGGGAGUGUUAUAGCCCAUUGUGUAAUACCCUGUGGUGGACUGAGGUUCGCGCAUUCGCAAGGAUGCUGGCGUAAUGGUCAUCAGCGACCCGUCUUGAAACACGGACCAAGGAGUCGUCUUCGUAUGCGAGUGUUCGGGUGUUAAACCCCUACGCGUAAUGAAAGUGAACGCAGGUGAGAGCUUCGGCGCAUCAUCGACCGAUCCUGAUGUUCUCGGAUGGAUUUGAGUAAGAGCAUACGGGGCCGGACCCGAAAGAAGGUGAACUAUGCCUGUAUAGGGUGAAGCCAGAGGAAACUCUGGUGGAGGCUCGCAGCGGUUCUGACGUGCAAAUCGAUCGUCAAAUAUGGGCAUGGGGGCGAAAGACUAAUCGAACCUUCUAGUAGCUGGCUUCCGC